rnacentral:rRNA from 1 species
AAGUGGGAAACGAUGUGGGAAGGCCCAGACAGCCAGGAUGUUGGCUUAGAAGCAGCCAUCAUUUAAAGAAAGCGUAAUAGCUCACUGGUCGAGUCGGCCUGCGCGGAAGAUGUAACGGGGCUAAACCAUGCACCGAAGCUGCGGCAGCGACGCUUAUGCGUUGUUGGGUAGGGGAGCGUUCUGUAAGCCUGUGAAGGUGUGCUGUGAGGUAUGCUGGAGGUAUCAGAAGUGCGAAUGCUGACAUAAGUAACGAUAAAGCGGGUGAAAAGCCCGCUCGCCGGAAGACCAAGGGUUCCUGUCCAACGUUAAUCGGGGCAGGGUGAGUCGACCCCUAAGGCGAGGCCGAAAGGCGUAGUCGAUGGGAAACAGGUUAAUAUUCCUGUACUUGGUGUUACUGCGAAGGGGGGACGGAGAAGGCUAUGUUGGCCGGGCGACGGUUGUCCCGGUUUAAGCGUGUAGGCUGGUUUUCCAGGCAAAUCCGGAAAAUCAAGGCCGAGGCGUGAUGACGAGGCACUACGGUGCUGAAGCAACAAAUGCCCUGCUUCCAGGAAAAGCCUCUAAGCAUCAGGUAACAUCAAAUCGUACCCCAAACCGACACAGGUGGUCAGGUAGAGAAUACCAAGGCGCUUGAGAGAACUCGGGUGAAGGAACUAGGCAAAAUGGUGCCGUAACUUCGGGAGAAGGCACGCUGAUACGUAGGUGAAGCGACUUGCUCGUGGAGCUGAAAUCAGUCGAAGAUACCAGCUGGCUGCAACUGUUUAUUAAAAACACAGCACUGUGCAAACACGAAAGUGGACGUAUACGGUGUGACGCCUGCCCGGUGCCGGAAGGUUAAUUGAUGGGGUUAGCGCAAGCGAAGCUCUUGAUCGAAGCCCCGGUAAACGGCGGCCGUAACUAUAACGGUCCUAAGGUAGCGAAAUUCCUUGUCGGGUAAGUUCCGACCUGCACGAAUGGCGUAAUGAUGGCCAGGCUGUCUCCACCCGAGACUCAGUGAAAUUGAACUCGCUGUGAAGAUGCAGUGUACCCGCGGCAAGACGGAAAGACCCCGUGAACCUUUACUAUAGCUUGACACUGAACAUUGAGCCUUGAUGUGUAGGAUAGGUGGGAGGCUUUGAAGUGUGGACGCCAGUCUGCAUGGAGCCGACCUUGAAAUACCACCCUUUAAUGUUUGAUGUUCUAACGUGGACCCGUGAUCCGGGUUGCGGACAGUGUCUGGUGGGUAGUUUGACUGGGGCGGUCUCCUCCUAAAGAGUAACGGAGGAGCACGAAGGUUGGCUAAUCCUGGUCGGACAUCAGGAGGUUAGUGCAAUGGCAUAAGCCAGCUUGACUGCGAGCGUGACGGCGCGAGCAGGUGCGAAAGCAGGUCAUAGUGAUCCGGUGGUUCUGAAUGGAAGGGCCAUCGCUCAACGGAUAAAAGGUACUCCGGGGAUAACAGGCUGAUACCGCCCAAGAGUUCAUAUCGACGGCGGUGUUUGGCACCUCGAUGUCGGCUCAUCACAUCCUGGGGCUGAAGUAGGUCCCAAGGGUAUGGCUGUUCGCCAUUUAAAGUGGUACGCGAGCUGGGUUUAGAACGUCGUGAGACAGUUCGGUCCCUAUCUGCCGUGGGCGCUGGAGAACUGAGGGGGGCUGCUCCUAGUACGAGAGGACCGGAGUGGACGCAUCACUGGUGUUCGGGUUGUCAUGCCAAUGGCACUGCCCGGUAGCUAAAUGCGGAAGAGAUAAGUGCUGAAAGCAUCUAAGCACGAAACUUGCCCCGAGAUGAGUUCUCCCUGACCCUUUAAGGGUCCUGAAGGAACGUUGAAGACGACGACGUUGAUAGGCCGGGUGUGUAAGCGCAGCGAUGCGUUGAGCUAACCGGUACUAAUGAACCGUGAGGCUUAACCUUACAACGCCGAAG